GCCGGGCGUGGUGGCGGGUGCCUGUAAUCCCAGUUACUUGGGAGGCUGAGGCAGGAGAAUCACUUGAACCCAGGAGGCAGGAGGUUGCAGUGAGCCAAGAUCACACCACUGCACUCCAGCCUGGGCAACAGAGUGAAACUCUGUCUCAA
rnacentral:sRNA from 1 species